GUUCUCAUAGUUGAAUUACAACGGUGGGUUUUCAAGUCAUUGGUUCCUGGUUAAAUUCCGGGUGAGAAUU
rnacentral:tRNA from 1 species